UCUUUUCAACACUUAUUACUUUCAUUGAUGAACACUUAACACAUGUAACUUAUUUAUUAGUCACAAAUAUUUAUUUUUAACUGUCAAUUCAUACAUCAACCCCAUCUUUGUACAUAUCGUAUUUUGUUCUCUCUUGUGAUUUUAAUGAUUUGCUUUUGUUAUAAUUUAGUGUUUUACAUUUUUUUUAUACAGAUCAAGGGCUCAGUGUUACAUUAAAUACGAGAAUUUCUGAGCUCGAAACCCCCAGACACAGCUACACGAAAUAUUCACAACAAGAUGUAAAAAGCUUUUUGCCAUACCCCUAUAUUUUCUCUGCUAUUAUUUUGAAGAUUUACGACUAAAGCUCUAUUCAUUGAUAAACAAAAGUAUCCAUUAUUCUUUAUUCUGAAGGCAUGUUGCGCUCCAUCGCACAUUGCUUGCCCAGCAAGAUGUCUUCAUUAUUGUUUCAUAUCUCACAAAACAAAUGUUUGAGUACUAUCGAAUGUUGCUGUUCACUGUUUAUUGUUGUCUUUGUUGUAAUGAUUUGCAUUUUACCGACCUCUGUCAAUCAUAUUUUUCACAGUAUGAUAGAACCUUUUCCCUCACUUGAUGUUGAUAUGUGCUCAGCUCCCGCCUUGUAGAGGACAUGUGACCGGAGAUGAUCACAAUUUUAAACUCUUUUAUACGUUUGUUGUUUUAUUCGUCGUUUGUUCUUUCUUUUGUUCAUUUUCGAGGAUUCUUUCUAAUACAACGGUCCUUAAAAAAAAUGGUCUUAUCGAAACACAUGAUUUCUCUCCCCUCAUUCGCCCGACCCAACCUAAUCAUCAUCAUCAUCAUCAAUCAUCAUCAUGAGCAGGAGAAGUAGGAGGAAGAGGAGGAGGAAGAGAGGAGGAGGAGGGCAAAGAUGAAGAUGAGGAGGAAUGGAUAAAGACCAACAUUUUGUGUAACUACUUUAUCAUGCUCUUAAACACAGAAAGAUGACUAGAACGGCGCACUUACUCCUCCGAUAAUGCUUUCGUAUACUCAUCCUGUUUAAUGAAAGAGAAUGUAGACUUUGUAAGUAAUAAAACCAAAACCAUUUUUUUCAGACUAUUACGUGUUUCGCAGGUCAUUAAACUAAUUAUUUCUCUAUUACUCGCCAAUUGUUUGGUAGUUGCCGACUGACAUGGAACCCUGUCUACCUACUCCCUCGUGAACCCUAUCAUCUGUGACUAAUCAACUCUGCCAACUCGCCACAAUUGUGGUCAGUUCAUCGUUUGCAUUGUCUCACCAUCAGCCGCUUGCAGAAGCAAGGACAGUAACGCUGGGCGCUCGUCCCCUUCACUCAAUGUAGUGUCUACCCGCAUUGUCUCCCUUCCAUUGAAGUCUGCGGCUACUGUUGUCCUCACACGAGACUCGACUUCAACACAGGUUUAUCGCACUUGAAUCAGAAUUUUUUUUUAAUUUAAAUUUUUAUCCAUUUGUUAUUGAUUAUGAUGCAUUUUUAUCAGUUCCAGGAGAUGAUACCUUGUGGUCGAUGAAACGCAAAAAAUCAGGAAUGUUUUGUGUGCUUGUCGGUACAUUCAACUUUUGUUUAAAGACCAAGAAUGAUAUUGGUUACUAGAAUGACUAGAUUAUGAUUUGUUGUAGGGAGCAUAGCUACAUAGUCACACAGACAAGUAUAAUGUGUAGAAGUGGUCAGACUAGCGAGUUUUAGUCCAAAGGAUGCUAGUGUGAACAGUUGAUGAAAGAAUACUUACAGAGCAGGAAAGGAAAGGCAGCGAUGAAGGGAUGCGUACCUCCUACAUCAGAAAGGGUGCCCCAACGAUCUGCCGUGCCUUACAUCUUAUUGUCAACGAGCAAAAGGGAAAGGACAACACAGACACAUCAACCUACACCGUGACAAGCUCACCACACGUGAAAACAGUUUGGAAAAAGUGAGAAGGCAUACAGAUACUUUCUCAACCGACAGAUGGAGGAAAAAACAGCUGAGGUUGGGUAGAGAGAGUAAAGAAAGAUAAAAACAGGGAAGAAAGUGCGAGUAAACCAUAAUAAAACUUAUGUAAAUAAUAAACACUGGUGCCACACAA
rnacentral:lncRNA from 1 species